AUACGGAGGAUGCGAGCGUUAUCCGGAUUUAUUGGGCUUAAAGGGAGCGUAGGUGGGAUAUUAAGUCAGCUGUGAAAGUUUGGGGCUCAACCUUAAAAUUGCAGUGGAUACUGGUUUCCUUGAGUACGGUACAGGUGGGCGGAAUUCGUGGUGUAGCGGUGAAAUGCUUAGAUAUCAGGAAGAACUCCGAUCGCGAAGGCAGCUCACCGGGCCGGAACUGACACUGAUGCUCGAAAGUGCGGGUAUCAAACAGGAUUAGAUACCCUGGUAGUCCGCACAGUAAACGAUGAAUACUCGCUGUUUGCGAUACACGGUAAGCGGCCAAGCGAAAGCGUUAAGUAUUCCACCUGGGGAGUACGCCGGCAACGGUGAAACUCAAAGGAAUUGACGGGG
rnacentral:rRNA from 1 species